rnacentral:rRNA from 1 species
GAUGAACGCUGACAGAAUGCUUAACACAUGCAAGUCAUUGGCGAAGCUGCGCUUGCGCAGUCUAGCCAAGGCGGACGGGUGAGUAACGCGUAAGGAACUUGCCCUGCCGACAGGGAUAACAGACGGAAACGACUGAUAACACCUGGUAUUGUCAGGCUGGCGCAUGCCGGCCUGAUGAAAGCAUACGCUGACGGUCAGCCUUGCGUCCUAUUAACUUGUUGGUGGGGUAGCGGCGCACCAAGGCGAUGAUAGGUAGCCGGCCUGAGAGGAUGAACGGCCACAAGGGGACUGAGAUACGACCCUUACUCCUACGGGAGGAAGCAGUGGGGAAGAUUGGACAAUGGUGGCAAGCCUGAUCCAGCAAUUCUGUGUGCACGAAGAAGGUUUUCGGAUUGUAAAGUGCUUUCAGCAGGGAAGAAGAAAGUGACGGUACCUUCAGAAGAAGCGACGGCUAAAUACGUG